rnacentral:rRNA from 1 species
GAACCGUACAAACGUUAUUCGGAAUCACUGGGCUUAAAGGGUGCGUAGGCGGUCCGGCAAGUUGGGUGUGAAAUCCCUCGGCUCAACCGAGGAAUGGCGCUCAAAACUGCCGGACUUGAGGGAGACAGAGGUGAGCGGAACUUGCGGUGGAGCGGUGAAAUGCGUUGAUAUCGCAAGGAACACCAGUAGCGAAAGCGGCUCACUGGGUCUCUUCUGACGCUGAGGCACGAAAGCUAGGGGAGCGAACGGGGGAUUAGAUACCCCGGUAGUCCUAGCUGUAAACGAUGAGCACUGGGUUGGAGGCUCCUCCAUAGGCUUCCUGCCGUAGCGAAAGUGUUAAGUGCUCCGCCUGGGGAUAUGGUCGCAAGGCUG